AAAAAUUUAGAAACCGGAAAAGUAAUGUGUGAGGAGCCAUCCCCUAAACAAUAUAAGGUCCAAUUACUAGCAUUGGAUCCAGAGAGAUCUGUUUCUAGGAAAGACAGUAAUUUAGUCCCGCCAGCGUUGUACAUAGGACAGUAUAAAAGAACAUGCUCCACAGUUUCAACCUCAGCUCUAUCACAGGGAACAUAACCUGUUCUGUCCCCGUACCCCACACGCACCCCCACAGACGGCCCGGAGUUAACAAGCCACACGACAAAACUCUUUGAAGAUAAAGCUGGCAGCAACCCAGUGGCUAGCUGCCAAUUCAGACUUUACUCACACAAAACAAAGAUUAGACUGCCAGCAUAAAACAGGCAGAGUUUCAACAAUACAAGGAUUAAUCCAAAUGCAGUCCGAUAAAGCAGGCAAAGUCCAGUAACGCAGAGAUCAUGGAUUAUUUCCAGUUUUUGCUCGUCACAAACUGAACCGGCCACCACACUCACGUUUAUACCCUGUGGGGUGUGGUCCAGUGACUCAGCUAAUCUCUGGCAUGCCUUCCCCUCUGCUGCGCACGCUUCUCCCUGCGCCUCUGCCGAGGGUCCAGCCAGCACUUAUCUUCUUUGUCGCUGUCCACCUGUGGCUGCGGGGACGUGCUUGGCUCUGAGCCUAUCGUUUGGCCUUCGGUGUCCUCCGGAGGCAUUACCAGAGAGGAGGGUCCUGGAGAGGGAGGCCUUGCCAACUCCUCUCCCUCACUCUCAGAGUCUGCAUCUGUCGAUAGCCCAGGCUCAGGCAACGGAGCCACAACAUAACCCCUCACUUAUCGGGAGCCUCUUAAAUCGUCCGUCCAGCAAUGCUGAGGGCAAGACGUUGAAACAAGCAAGGGAGAAGACUCUUCUAUACUUGGGGAUGGUUAAAGUGUAAAAAUAUGAGGCCAUCUUCAGUUUUUUUUACGCCCUUUCCUCCCAGAGUUCUUACUUGAGCGAAUCAAUGCAGUUAUUAAGUUAGCGAGACGGUUGUUAAGUAAAUUCGGAUUCCCCGUUGACUUCGCUGUUUCAGAAGAUCCCGUGAUCCCAGGACACCCAACCGUCAUAAAUGUGAGCCAGGUGUCCCAAGCGUCCGAAUUUUGAUAAAGACCACAGGGAUAUGCCGCAAAGGUCAUAAGUGAGAAAAAUGGUCAUAACCAGGGAGUGGGAUUCAGUAUAGUUGUGACCUGUGAGUGGGCCUGUCCGCCUGCCCAGGCACUAUGCCGUCCUCUGUAGCUGCAUUUUUUAAGCCACACAUAUGCGUGCAAGCGCGCGCACUUAUACCUUUGGUAUUGGGGUGAACCGGUUGUUAAAUUAUAUGAAGCCCACCUCCGGUCAUAACUCGCCUUUUUCACUGCCGGGGUAAUUUCAAAGGGUCAACUGAAUGAAUGGUUGUAAAUCAAGGACUACCUGUGGUUGAGAAACAUUGCCCUAAAGAGUUUGAACAGAGAUUUUUUUCUUCACUUAAUGCUCUGAGGAAUUUCUCUUAAACAUGUUACUGGAAACCUG